UCCACUGAUGAUGAUGCUUUUUAUACCUACAGAGAUCGUUCUUGUCUUCACCACUUCCUCAUGGCUCUUUCUUCUAAUUAUGAACAUACACGGACUUCUCCACUUUAUCGCCAUCCUCUUCCUACUCUUGGCCAAGCCCUUGCUGAGCUACGAUCUGAGGAGACUCGCAAGAAGGCUAUGAUCUAUCAUCAGCACUCUCAGCCUGUUUUGGCCACACCUUCCUGGGCACCACUACUACCACCAUCUCAGUCUGUUCGAUUUACUCCAUCUGGCUCGAAGACCAUUCCAUCUGGCUCACAAAGAAAUAUUGCAGUUUUUGUAGACGUGACUAUCACUCUAAUGAAGAUUGUUGCUUUCGCUACAAAAAUAGACGCAAAGGUUCUUAUAACCGUCAAACUACUGCUGUCACUGACUCUAUUAGGCCAUCUUCUGAUUCUGCUUCCACCCUUACUGCUGCUGAUGUCGAGACAAUAGUCACCUAUGUUUUAUCACGCACUAAUAUUCAUUCAUAUGCUCUCUCAACCAAUUCAGGUACUUUAUCUUGGCUUUUUGAUACAGCCUGUUACAAUCAUAUGACUUCUGAUACUUCUUUAUUCUCUAUCAUACAUCCCACUUCCUCUGUGCAUUCUAUUCAUAUAGCUAAUAGCUUCCUUAUGACUACUACUCACACUGAUACCAUAGUCAGUCACUCCUAAUCUUACUAUUGACCAUGCUUAUCUUAUUCUUACUCGUUCCCAUAAUUUGUUAUCUGUUGGUUAACUUUAUGAGAAUGGUUUACAUUUAUAUUUUUUUAAUUAUGGUUGUCUUAUUCAUGAUCCACAGACGAGAAAAAUCAUUGGGACUGACAGUAAAGUGGGUCGCUUGUUUGAAUUGAAGUUUCUUUAUAUUCCUCCUCGGUCUGUUACUACUGCAUCUAGUUCAAGUAGUCAUAUUUCACUGCAUCUAGUUCAAGUAGUCAUAUUUCUCUUAACCUCUGGCAUUAUCAUUUAGGUCAUGUUUUUUUUAUCAAAAUGACAAAAAUUAGUUUCUUGAGGUUAUUUGGGUCCUGUUAAAACUGAAAUAAUUUUUUAUUAUCUUGCUUAUCAAACUGAAAAAUAACAUGCAUCACCUUUUCAUAAUAGUGAUUCUCUAACUAGUGCACCUUUUAACCUUAUUCAAUCUGAUGUGUGGAAGCUUUCUCCCAUCUCUACUAUACAUGGUUCUUGAUAUCUUAUCAUUUUUAUUGAUAAUUAUUCUCGAUAUACAUGUAUUUAUCUUCUGCAUAGUAGAUCUGAGUUACUUGAUAUUUAUGAUGAAUUUCAAAAAAUAAUUCAAAUAUAAUUUUUUUAUAAAAUUAAAAAUUUUCGUUCUGACAAUGCCCAAGAAUAUAAAUAAAUUGAUUUUCUCAAUAUUCUUAAACAAAAUGACACACUUUCACAUUCAUCAUGUCCCGGUAUUUCUCAACAAAAUGGACAUGCAAACUAAGACCCAUCCAACAAGCCGCUUUCGGGACCUUGUAUCCAAACUCAAGUUGGUCUCUAACUUACCACUUUGAGUUU
rnacentral:lncRNA from 1 species